GACGAACGCUGGCGGCGUGCUUAACACAUGCAAGUCGAACGGAAAGGCCUGCUUUCCCUUGUGGAUUGCGGGUACUCGAGUGGCGAACGGGUGAGUAACACGUGAGUGAUCUGCCCCCAACUUGGGUAUAAGCCUGGGAAACUGGGUCUAAUUCCCGAUAGGACUGCAGGGUGGUGCCUGUGGUGGAAAACGAUUUUCUAGUGGUUGGGGAUGAGCUCGCGGCCUAUCAGCUUGUUGGUGGGGUAAUGGCCUACCAAGGCGGCGACGGGUAGCCGGCCUGAGAGGGUGGACGGCCACAUUGGGACUGAGAUACGGCCCAGACUCCUACGGGAGGCAGCAGUGGGGAAUAUUGCACAAUGGGCGGAAGCCUGAUGCAGCGACGCCGCGUGGGGGAUGACGGCCUUCGGGUUGCAAACUCCUUUCGACCGCGAGGAAGCCACCUGGUUGGAGGGUGGUGACGGUAGUGGUAGAAGAAGCACCGGCUAACUACGUG
rnacentral:rRNA from 1 species